rnacentral:tRNA from 1 species
GCGGGUGUGGCCUAGCGGUCGGGCUGUAGCCUUCCAAGCUACCCACACGGGUUCGACUCCCGUCACCCGCUCCA